AGUGAACGCUGGCGGUAGGCCUAACACAUGCAAGUCGAACGGCAGCACAGUAAGAGCUUGCUCUUACGGGUGGCGAGUGGCGGACGGGUGAGGAAUACAUCGGAAUCUACUUUUUCGUGGGGGAUAACGUAGGGAAACUUACGCUAUACCGCAUACGACCUACGGGUGAAAGCAGGGGAUCUUCGGACCUUGCGCGGUUGAAUGAGCCGAUGUCGGAUUAGCUAGUUGGCGGGGUAAAGGCCCACCAAGGCGACGAUCCGUAGCUGGUCUGAGAGGAUGAUCAGCCACACUGGAACUGAGACACGGUCCAGACUCCUACGGGAGGCAGCAGUGGGGAAUAUUGGACAAUGGGCGCAAGCCUGAUCCAGCCAUACCGCGUGGGUGAAGAAGGCCUUCGGGUUGUAAAGCCCUUUUGUUGGGAAAGAAAAGCAGCAGGUUAAUACCCCGCUGUUCUGACGGUACCCAAAGAAUAAGCACCGGCUAACUUCGUG
rnacentral:rRNA from 1 species